CCGAGUUUACACAACUCCCAAACCCACUGUGAACCUUACCGAAUCGUUGCUUCGGCGGGACACGCCCCGGGCCCCAGCCGCCCGGAACCAGGCGCCCGCCGGAGGCCCCAAAACUCUCAUGUUUCUCCUGGCGGAAUCGAAUCUGAGUGUGCCACAGCGGCAAAGAAAAUGAAUCA
rnacentral:misc_RNA from 1 species